UAUCUACCAUAUUUUCAAUACGAAUAUGAGGGAUUUGUUUACUUUGACUUUUGAUAAUGUGCCGUGCCACUUUAAUUGCGCAUCUUCAAAAUAUAUUGGAAAUCUUUUGCAAUCUAUGCAAAAUUUAUUUCUUUGUAUCUUUCCAAAGAAGCAGGCCCAAGCAUUAUCAAUCAAUAGAUACAAUGACCAGGUGCGAAAUUUAUCUCAAGUGGAGUACUCGAGAACUCAGUUUACUUAUUGUAUAUUUAAAUUGACAAUUUUUUUUUGUUUUUUUUAUAACCUUGUUUCAGCUUAUAUAUAUAUUUAUAUUAUAAACAAAACUAUAGACACUGAUUAGAUAGAGGAGAGGAGUGUAGUUUCGAGCAGAGAGGCGGCCAGGCCGCAGGAAAGAUCUAAGGUCGAGUUCCGCGUUACUUUAUCAGUUGCAGCCUUUCAAAUUUCUUCUGGCGCGGCGCUCUCACAAUAGCCCAUGCAUGUGCAUAUAUAAGAACACCAAUCGACAAUAUUCCAACCAAAUGUUUGUUUCAAUAAAUAUGUAAAGAUUUGCUCGAAUCUCAUA
rnacentral:sRNA from 1 species